rnacentral:rRNA from 1 species
AAUUUGACUCAACGCGGGAAAUCUUACCGGGUCCGGACACACUGAGGAUUGACAGGCAAUAUCUCAUGGUUAUUAACCGGUUAUUUAUUUAAGCGGUUUAUUAAGCAUCGAGUGUUAAAUAUGCUAGUCCUUUCAUGAUUAUGUGAUAGGUGGUGCAUGGCCGUUCUUAGUUCGUGGAGUGAUCUGUCUGCUUAAUUGCGUUUCACUAAGGGCCCAUAAAUUCAAGGUAUGUUUGCUAUCGUCGCUCUAUGGACCCCUUAUUCAAGCUAUUAGUUUGUUUAAGCGCGCGUCUUUAUUUAAUGAGUUUAAGACACUGCGCAUGCUGUUGGGCUCUGAAAGCAACGAACGUGACCGCAACGUCUUGGUUGCCUUAAUAAAGUUGGCUUUAAAUACGAAAUUCGUAUUUAAACCGCUUACAGAGGCUAUUUAAAACUAGACGGACCGCUGUUUCUUUUCUUAAACCAGA